UGCCGAGUUCUGCGAGCCGGUCAGAGAGUGGGGGAGAGAUUACUCGCUUGGCUCGUCCCCGGCCGCUGCCCCGGGCGGCACAAGAGUGACAUCAUCAAAAUAAACAAGUCCCCCUCAGAUGCAGACUCUAUCAGGUCAUGACCCUACCCGGAUAUGACGUGUAUACCCCUGCCCUACCUGAUGCUGGAAUCAGAAGAUCAUGACUCCUAAAGGACAUGACAUGUUGAACAUAAUCCCAUGGGGAAAAAAGUGACAGUCAACCCUACACUGUGUGAUUACCCAGCCUUCAUCCUAUAUGGAUUUGAACCAAAAUUAAGCCAAGUGAAUAAUUAACAGAACUCUGGGCUACAGUGUAUUUGGGAAGCAAACCCUAUUUAUGUAUUGAUAAAUAAAUAAUAAUACUUUUCUCUCA